GAUGAACGCUGGCGGUAUGCUUAACACAUGCAAGUCGAACGGACUCUUCGGAGUUAGUGGCGGACGGGUGAGUAACGCGUGAGAAUCUGGCUUUGGGUUCGGGACAACCACUGGAAACGGUGGCUAAUACCGGAUGUGCCGAGAGGUAAAAGAGAAAUUGCCUGAAGAUGAGCUCGCGUCUGAUUAGCUAGUUGGUGAGGUAAAGGCUCACCAAGGCAGCGAUCAGUAGCUGGUCUGAGAGGAUGACCAGCCACACUGGGACUGAGACACGGCCCAGACUCCUACGGGAGGCAGCAGUGGGGAAUUUUCCGCAAUGGGCGAAAGCCAGACGGAGCAAUACCGCGUGAGGGAAGAAGGCUCUUGGGUUGUAAACCUCUUUUCUUAGGGAAGAACAAAAUGACGGUACCUAAGGAAUCAGCAUCGGCUAACUCCGUG
rnacentral:rRNA from 1 species